CGGCCUAGCCCACUCCGGGUACCAAUCGCCAUAGUGGUCAUAGACCGAACGAAUGGUUCAAUGACACUGUCGCGUAUUGGUACCUUGAUGGGCAAAGGUU
rnacentral:pre_miRNA from 1 species